GGGAACUGCGUUNUGAACUGGGUGACUAGAGUGUGUCAGAGGGAGGUAGAAUUNCACGUGUAGCAGUGAAAUGCGUAGAGAUGUGGAGGAAUACCGAUGGCGAAGGCAGCCUCCUGGGAUAACACUGACGUUCAUGCCNGAAAGCGUGGGUAGCAAACAGGAUUAGAUACCCUGGUAGUCCACGCCCUAAACGAUGUCGAUUAGCUGUUGGGCAGCAUGACUGCUUAGUAGCGAAGCUAACGCGUGAAAUCGACCGCCUGGGGAGUACGGUCGCAAGAUUAAAACUCAAAGGAAUUGACGGGGACCCGCACAAGCGGUGGAUGAUGUGGAUUAAUUCGAUGCAACGCGAAGAACCUUACCUGGUCUUGACAUGUACGGAACCCUCCAGAGACGGAGGAGUGCCUUCGGGAGCCGUAACACAGGUGCUGCAUGGCUGUCGUCAGCUCGUGUCGUGAGAUGUUGGGUUAAGUCCCGCAACGAGCGCAACCCUUGUCAUUAGUUGCCAUCAUUAAGUUGGGCACUCUAAUGAGACUGCCGGUGACAAGCCGGAGGAAGGUGGGGAUGACGUCAAGUCCUCAUGGCCCUUAUGACCAGGGCUUCACACGUCAUACAAUGGUCGGUACAGAGGGUAGCCAAGCCGCGAGGCGGAGCCAAUCUCACAAAACCGAUCGUAGUCCGGAUUGCACUCUGCAACUCGAGUGCAUGAAGUCGGAAUCGCUAGUAAUCGCAGGUCAGCAUACUGCGGUGAAUACGUUCCCGGGUCUUGUACAC
rnacentral:rRNA from 1 species